AUACGUAGGGAGCGAGCGUUGUCCGGAAUUACUGGGUGUAAAGGGAGCGUAGGCGGGAGUGCAAGUCAGAUGUGAAAUACAUGGGCUCAACCCAUGGGCUGCAUUUGAAACUGCCUUUCUUGAGUGAAGUAGCGGUAAGCGGAAUUCCUGGUGUAGCGGUGAAAUGCGUAGAUAUCAGGAGGAACACCGGUGGCGAAGGCGGCUUACUGGGCUUUUACUGACGCUGAGGCUCGAAAGCGUGGGGAGCAAACAGGAUUAGAUACCCUGGUAGUCCACGCUGUAAACGAUGAUUACUAGGUGUGGGGGGACUGACCCCUUCCGUGCCGCAGUUAACACAAUAAGUAAUCCACCUGGGGAGUACGGCCGCAAGGUUGAAACUCAAAUGAAUUGACGGGG
rnacentral:rRNA from 1 species